ensembl:snoRNA
AUCCUUUUAUAGCUCACAAGUAUGACGAUCUGGUAUUCACGCACAUGGGUGAGAUGUGCCUCCCUCAAACCUCAUUAUAAUGUCAGCACAUUACCCAUUUGACA